UACAGAGGUCCCAAGCGUUGUUCGGAUUCAUUGGGCGUAAAGGGUGCGUAGGCGGCGCGGUAAGUCGGGUGUGAAAUCUCGGGGCUUAACUCCGAAACUGCAUUCGAUACUGCCGUGCUUGAGGACUGGAGAGGAGACUGGAAUUUACGGUGUAGCAGUGAAAUGCGUAGAGAUCGUAAGGAAGACCAGUGGCGAAGGCGGGUCUCUGGACAGUUCCUGACACUGAGGCACGAAGGCCAGGGGAGCAAACGGG
rnacentral:rRNA from 1 species